rnacentral:rRNA from 1 species
AGUGGCGCACGGGUGCGUAACACGUAUGCAACCUACCUUUUACUGGGGAAUAGCCUCUCGAAAGAGAGAUUAAUACCCCAUGACAUGUUUUGAAGGCAUCUUCAGAACCUUAAAGCUCCGGCGGUAAAAGAUGGGCAUGCGGUUGAUUAGCUAGUUGGUGAGGUAAUGGCUCACCAAGGCUUCGAUCAAUAGGGGGUCUGAGAGGAUGUCCCCCCACACUGGUACUGAGACACGGACCAGACUCCUACGGGAGGCGGCAGUAGGGAAUAUUGGACAAUGGGCGCAAGCCUGAUCCAGCCAUGCCGCGUGCAGGAUGAAGGCCCUAUGGGUCGUAAACUGCUUUUGUACGGGAAGAAACCUUACUACGUGUAGUGAGUUGACGGUACCGUGAGAAUAAGGAUCGGCUAACUUCGUGCCAGCAGCCGCGGUAAUACGAAGGAUCCAAGCGUUGUCCGGAUUUACUGGGUUUAAAGGGUGCGUAGGCGGACUUUUAAGUCAGUGGUGAAAGCUUGCGGCUUAACUGUAAAAUUGCCAUUGAAACUGAAAGUCUCGAGUGUGGUUGAGGUAACUGGAAUAUAUCAUGUAGCGGUGAAAUGCUUAGAUAUGAUAUAGAACACCAAUUGCGAAGGCAGGUUACUGAGCCACAACUGACGCUGAGGCACGAAAGCGUGGGGAUCAAACAGGAUUAGAUACCCUGGUAGUCCACGCCGU